rnacentral:misc_RNA from 1 species
GAUGAAGAACGCAGCGAAAUGCGAUAAGUAAUGUGUAUUGCAGAAUUCAGUGAAUCAUCGAAUCUUUGAACGCACAUUGCGCCCGCCAGUAUUCUGGCGGGCAUGCCUGUCUGAGCGUCAUUUCAACCCUCAUGCCCCUAGGGCGUGGUGUUGGGGAUCGGCCAAAGCCCGCGAGGGACGGCCGGCCCCUAAAUCUAGUGGCGGACCCGUCGUGGCCUCCUCUGCGAAGUAGUGAUAUUCCGCAUCGGAGAGCGAUGAGCCCCUGCCGUUAAACCCCCAACUUUCCAAGGUUGACCUCAGAUCAGGUAGGAAUACCCGCUGAACUUAAGCAUAUCAAUAAGCGGAGGA